UCGGGAAUUUUGGGCAAUGGGCGAAAGCCUGACCCAGCAACGCCGCGUGAGUGAAGAAGGCCUUCGGGUUGUAAAGCUCUUUUGUCAGGGAAGAAACGGUAGUAGCGAAUAACUAUUACUAAUGACGGUACCUGAAGAAUAAGCACCGGCUAACUACGUGCCAGCAGCCGCGGUAAUACGUAGGGUGCAAGCGUUAAUCGGAAUUACUGGGCGUAAAGCGUGCGCAGGCGGUUGUGUAAGUCAGAUGUGAAAUCCCCGGGCUCAACCUGGGAAUUGCAUUUGAGACUGCACGGCUAGAGUGUGUCAGAGGGGGGUAGAAUUCCACGUGUAGCAGUGAAAUGCGUAGAUAUGUGGAGGAAUACCGAUGGCGAAGGCAGCCCCCUGGGAUAACACUGACGCUCAUGCACGAAAGCGUGGGGAGCAAACAGGAUUAGAUACCCGUGUAGUCCCUGAGCGGGCUGGCAAGGCGCAU
rnacentral:rRNA from 1 species